GUGCUCGCUUCGGCAGCACAUAUACAAAAAUUGAAACAAUACAGAGAUUAGCAUGGCCCCUGAGCAAAGAUUACAUGCAAAUUCGUGAAGUGUUCCAUAUUUUU
ensembl:snRNA U6 U6 spliceosomal RNA